GGAGGGGUGCGUGAGCGGUUCAAACGAGCGGCUUGCUAAGCCGUGGGCCCUUUAAAAGGCCCCGUGGGUUCAAAUCCCACCCCCUCCG
rnacentral:tRNA from 1 species